rnacentral:rRNA from 1 species
UACGUAGGGUGCGAGCGUUGUCCGGAAUUAUUGGGCGUAAAGAGCUUGUAGGCGGUCUGUCGCGUCGGAUGUGAAAGCCCGGGGCUUAACUCCGGGUCUGCAUUCGAUACGGGCAGGCUAGAGUUCGGUAGGGGAGAUCGGAAUUCCUGGUGUAGCGGUGAAAUGCGCAGAUAUCAGGAGGAACACCGGUGGCGAAGGCGGAUCUCUGGGCCGAUACUGACGCUGAGGAGCGAAAGCGUGGGGAGCGAACAGG